rnacentral:rRNA from 1 species
AGGGUUCGAUUCUGGCUCAGGACGAACGCUGGCGGUGCGCCUUAUGCAUGCAAGUCGAGCGAAGCUUUUCAGUAGUUUACUACAGAAAAUGACUGAGCGGCGAACGGGUGAGUAACGCGUGAGCAAUCUACCUUAGUUACAGGGAUAGCCCGAGGAAACUCGGAUUAAUACCUGAUAUUCUUUAUUUCUCGCAUGAGAAUAAAAGGAAAGGUCAGCCGAACUAAGAUGAGCUCGCGUUCUAUCAGCUAGUUGGUGAGGUAAAAGCUUACCAAGGCUACGACGGAUAGCUGGUCUGAGAGGACGAUCAGCCACACUGGGACUGAGACACGGCCCAGACUCCUACGGGAGGCUGCAGCAGGGAAUAUUGUGCAAUGAACGAAAGUUUGACACAGCGACACCGCGUGUGGGAUGACGGAUCUAGGUUUGUAAACCACUUUCAGGAGGGAAGAAAAUGACGGUACCCCCACAAGAAGCCCCGGCCAACUACGUGCCAGCCGCCGCGGUAAUAC